GACGAACGCUGGCGGCGUGCCUAACACAUGCAAGUCGAACGGAGAUGAUGGGAUAGCUUGCUAUUUAAUCAUCUUAGUGGCGGACGGGUGAGUAACACGUGGGCAACCUGCCCCAAAGAGGGGGAUAACACCGAGAAAUCGGUGCUAAUACCGCAUAACAUUAGAGCUUCGCAUGGAGCUUUAAUCAAAGGAGCAAUCCGCUUUGGGAUGGGCCCGCGUCUGAUUAGCUAGUUGGUGAGGUAACGGCUCACCAAGGCGACGAUCAGUAGCCGAUCUGAGAGGAUGACCGGCCACACUGGAACUGAGACACGGUCCAGACUCCUACGGGAGGCAGCAGUGGGGAAUAUUGCACAAUGGGGGAAACCCUGAUGCAGCAACGCCGCGUGGAGGAAGAAGGUCUUCGGAUUGUAAACUCCUGUCUUCUGGGGCGAAUAAUGACGGUACCAGAGGAGGAAGCCACGGCUAACUACGUGCCAGCAGCCGAC
rnacentral:rRNA from 1 species